rnacentral:rRNA from 1 species
AACGAACGCUGGCGGCGUGGAUAAGACAUGCAAGUCGAACGGGACAACAUUUGUAGCAAUACCGAUGUUGUUUAGUGGCGAACGGGUGCGUAACACGUGGGCAAUCUGCCGAGAAAGUGGGGGGAUAGCUCGCCGAAAGGCGAAUUAAUACCGCAUAUGAUCAGAGGAGACAUUUCUUCGACAUCAAAGCCGGGGGCAACCUGGCGCUUUUUGAGGAGCCCGCC